GGAAGAGGAGGAAGAGGAGGCUGGAGGAAGAAGAGGAGGCUCCGGUCUCUACCCCACAACCAUGACGGCCUCCUCAAUCCAUGGGGAGGAGGAGGAGGAAGAGGAGGCUCCGGCCUCCACCUCGUGAGCACAACGGCCUCCUGUGUCCAUGAGGAUGAGGAUGAGGAGGAAGAGGAGGCUGGAGGAAGAAGAGGAGGCUCCGGCCUCCACCCCACGAGCCCAACAGCCUCGCGUGUCCACCCGGAGGAGGAAGAGGAGGAAGAGGAGGCCUCCGGCGGGGCCUAGAGGCUGACGCUGCGGUGGUGCCUGGAGAGGCCCCGUCCCCCCCGGCGGCCUCCCCCCGCCUGCCCCCCGGCCUCCCCGCUGUUGAGGCUGGCGGCGUCAGAGAGGCCGAGGAGGUGCUCCACCGAGUCGAAUUUCUGCAGGUCGGAGGCGAUGGUUUGGAGGCUGAGCACCGAGAGGGCGUCCGGCGGGGGUCCCUCGGCCCCCAGCAACCCCCCGGCGGCCUCCCCGGCCUCCCCAGUCUCCCCAGUUUCUUCCUCCUCCGCCCCGACUGGGGAGGCCCGGCGGAGGCCGAGGCGUUGGAGGCGGCGGGCGUGGAUCUGCUCGCUGAUCUGCUCCAGGUUGCGCAGGGCCACGGCGUAGCGGGUCUUGGCCCGCGCCACCCGGGCCUCCAGCGCCGUCACCGCCGCCUUGUGCUCCUGGGGAGGACAGGGAGAGGGAGGGAGAGGGAGGCCGGGGCGGUGGGGACCGCGGGGGGAGGUUUUCGGGGGGGUUUGGGGAGGAAGAGGAGGAGGAGGGGAGAUGGAGGAGGCCAUGAGGAAGAGGAGGAGGAGGAGGAGAGGAGGAGGAGGCCAAAGGGAGAAGGAGGAGGCUGAAAGGAAAAGGAGGCCAGCAAGGGGAGAUGGAGGAGGAGGCCAUGGGGAGGAGGAGGAGGAAGAGGAGGAGGAGAAGGAGGAGAGAAGGCCGAGGAGAG
rnacentral:lncRNA from 1 species